AUCUUCAAGGCAGGGUGCAAUUCCCGACCGGUGGUUAAAGUCCACAAGCAAUUAUGCAUGAUUUGGUGUAAUUCCAAAACCGAUAGUAAAGUCUAGAUGAAAGAAGACA
rnacentral:ncRNA from 1 species